AACACUAUCAUAAUUAAUGUACAGAGAAGGGUCAGGACAAGAGCAGAGAACUCAAGCGUUGAACACGUUUAGUGGUCCAAGUGUUGAAUUCAAUUUCACGUCUCAUACAGAGGUAAUUUGUGACAACAGUGAGACAAUAUUUGAAUAUGGUCUCAUUACUACUGACGGAUGAACUUGAGAAAACUAUAUAAUAUAUGUGAUGCUUUCAAGAAUGUAUCUGCAACCAGAUUCUUGGAGUCCCUUAUAUACUACUUGGCAGUUUAUGAUGCUCCAUUUUGAUACUAUUAUUGAUCAUGUCCUGCAGAUUUCAGAAAAGACAUCAUAAUAUCUUUUUUGAAAUAGGCACUUUUAAGUUGUUUAUAAUUUGAAGUCUAAUCCCCCGCCCCGCCUGAUUAGUCAUAGAGAAAAGAUGCAAAGUUCGAGAUUUAUUCGAUUCUUUUGGAAUCAAGUUAGUUCUAUCUAUUAGUUAUUAGUAUUAGUUUUAUAUUAUUACUACUAUACAUGGUCUCAUUUCAAACUCUCUCCAAUUUCUUUCUUUCUCAGGCUUGGAAGUGUUCUAUCCCUCUUCUGAUGAGUGUUUUUUUCGUUCUCUUUGCUUAUCAAACUUUCGAUGUUGGAUCUCUCUCUGAUUUUUUGUUGAUUGCCUGUGGUAGUGAUAAAAACAAUUUUUUUUCUCCCUUUUCCACUUUCACAUCUGUAUAAAUCAAUUUCUAUAUGGUACAACAAGAAUCAAUACAUGUCACUCUAAAUUUGUUAAGAUAACAAUGUCUAUUUUUUAAUAUCAUCUUCAAUUUCACACAUACGCUUACUAUUAAUUUGACCUUUGCUUUGCAGUGGAUGACUUCAAGGACAAAUACAAAAUAUUUUUGAUACAAUACUGCAUCAUCAUCUGUUAUUCAGUAAUUUGAAAAAAUCAUUAAAGGUUUUAGCAAGAAAGACAAAACUCGCGUUAUUAGUUUAUCAUCGAGUCCUUAAAGGUGUCGUCGGAAGGAUUUUUCACUAUAAGCAGUUUCAGGUUUUCAAAAUUUUCUUAUUCAAAAGGCUUAUACCAGAGCUGAUCACUUGCCUUCAGCACAUAUAUGGUUGCUUUAAAUCAUUCCAAGGUGAUCUUUCACAAGAAAAAGUUCAAUGGUUUCAUCCUCAAAAGUUCUUGAUCACAUGUACUGCAAAGAGAAUUAAAAUCAAGCUUUUAGUUGGAGAUCUUAUAUUUGGACAUAUCUGUAUGUCUUGGUGUACUAUUCUCUUCAAUUAGGGGAUGUUGAAUUAGUUCUUUACUA